rnacentral:lncRNA from 1 species
GAUCGAAGUUGCAUGGCAUAUUAUCUCGGAAUGGCUAUGGAGAUGUGUCAGGACCGGAUUUUCGGGGAUUUUAAUUUCCCUUCAAAAUGGCCCUUGUGCAUACCAGCCCCAGGAAUACUGUUAGUUGGUGCAAUAAUCCUUGAUACAUUUGUCCAAGCAAAAAUACAAACUUGAAGUACAAGACCGAUGUGGUCCAUAGAGUACAUCAAAAAGGUUUCUAAUAGUUGAUGGCGGAAGCGAUUCGGGGAUCUCCAGCAUCUAUGGGACUCCAUUUCCCACAGGAACAGCUGACCUGGAUAAUUCCUAUCUCACGCGACUGCUGUGUUUGGUGCCUAGGUUCCGGGGUUAUCGUCGGGUUCCUCCUUUCCAAGCACGCAAUCUGGCCAAGACAAUAGCCACGGACAAGCCAGUGACU